rnacentral:rRNA from 1 species
UAACAAGGAUUCCCCCAGUAACGGCGAGUGAAGCGGGAAAAGCUCAAAUUUGAAAUCUCCGUUGCUUGCAACGGCGAAUUGUAGUUUCGAGAAGCACUUUCUAGGCGGAUCGGCCCUGUCUAAGUUGCUUGGAACAGCACGUCAGAGAGGGUGACAACCCCGUCCGUGACGGGGCCGGCCGCUCACGAUGUGUUUUCGAAGAGUCGGGUUGUUUGGGAAUGCAGCCCAAAAUGGGUGGUAAACUCCAUCUAAAGCUAAAUACAGGCACGAGACCGAUAGCGAACAAGUACCGUGAGGGAAAGAUGAAAAGAACUUUGAAAAGAGAGUUAAAAAGUACGUGAAACCGUUGAAAGGGAAACGAAUGGAGUUAGCAAUGCACCCUGCAAGAUUCAGCCGGAUGGUGGUCGGGACGAGCGGCUGGCGGAUCUGAAUGGACCGCCGUCGUCCGGCUCCGAUUCCCCUCCGUCGCACUUCUUGCGGGUGCGCGUCAACGUCGGUUAGAUUCCGGUUUGAAAGUUGGCGGGAAGAUAGGUGGCGGCGUCUCGGCUCCGCCUCUGUUACAGCCCGCCUCCCGAUGACCGGGAGCUGACCGAGGAGUCGCAGCGCAUGCCUCUUUUGGCUAGGGUCCCUCUCUUCCUGUCGGUUGUCGACCGCGGUGGACUGCUUGCAGUGCACCCGAACUGCUGCCGGUCGCUCUGGAGGUGACUUCUUACCAUGCGCUCAGGACGUUGGCGGUCAUAUGGCUUCAUCCGACCCGUCUUGAAACACGGACCAAGGAGUCUAGCCUGUGCGCGAGUCUUAGGGUGACGGAAACCCAGAGGCGCAAUGAAAGUGAAAGCGGCCUGGCCGCCGAGGUGAGAGCCUUCCCUCCGGGGUUGGUGCAUCAUUGACCGAUCUAUUCUACUCUUAGGAAGAUUUGAGUAAGAGCGCUCACGCUGGGACCCGAAAGAUGGUGAACUAUGCCUGAAUAGGGUGAGGCCAGAGGAAACUCUGGUGGAGGCUCGUAGCGAUUCUGACGUGCAAAUCGAUCGUCAAAUUUGGGUAUAGGGGCGAAAGACUAAUCGAACUGUCUAGUAGCUGGUUCCCUCCGAAGUUUCCCUCAGGAUAGCUGGAGCUCAUAGCAGUUUUAUCAGGUAAAGCGAAUGAUUAGAGGUCUUAGGGUUAAAACAACCUUAACCUAUUCUCAAACUUUAAAUUGGUAAGAAGUCCGACUUGCUCGAUUGAAGCCGGACAGUGAAUGCGAGUUCCUAGUGGGCCAUUUUUGGUAAGCAGAACUGGCGAUGCGGGAUGAACCGAACGCCGAGUUAAGGUGCCUAAGUCGACGCUCAUCAGACCCCACAAAAGGUGUUGGUUGCUAUAGACAGCAGGACGGUGGCCAUGGAAGUCGGAAUCCGCUAAGGAGUGUGUAACAACUCACCUGCCGAAGCAACUAGCCCUGAAAAUGGAUGGCGCUCAAGCGUCGCACCUAUACUCGGCCGUCGGGACAGAUGCGAAGCCCCGACGAGUAGGAGGGCGCGGUGGUCGUGACGCAGCCUUUGGCGCGAGCCUGGGUGAAACGGCCUUCGGUGCAGAUCUUGGUGGUAGUAGCAAAUAUUCAAAUGAGAGCUUU